rnacentral:rRNA from 1 species
AUACGGGGGGGGCAAGCGUUGUUCGGAAUUACUGGGCGUAAAGGGCGCGCAGGCGGCCCGGCAAGUCCAACGAGAAAUCCCACAGCUCAACUGUGGAACUGCGUGGGAAACUGCCAGGCUUGAGUCCGGGAGAGGAGAGUGGAAUUCCCAGUGUAGCGGUGAAAUGCGUAGAUAUUGGGAGGAACACCGGUGGCGAAGGCGGCUCUCUGGACCGGUACUGACGCUGAGGCGCGAAAGCUAGGGGAGCAAACGGGAUUAGAAACCCCAGUAGUCC